rnacentral:lncRNA from 1 species
UUUAAUUGCAGCUUACACAAAAUGACUGUGUUGAAAGCAGCAUGUAAUCAAAGUACUAAAAUGCUUCCCCACUUGUAAUGCACAGCGGUGCCUCAAAUAACAGAUCCUCUGAGAAUAAAGUUGGUCUUGGAAUCUGGCCACACCAGUGUUGGGUUGGAAGCAGUGAUGGAUGAAAAGGAGGAUGCAGCAGAAUAAUUUUAAAUAUAUUUUUUUGUGUAGGAGUGCCAGAGCUGAAGCAAACCUAAGAGGAGGACUACAUUCCCCUCCACUCCAAGUUUAAGAUUCCGUUACCUGGAAAUGGAGGAGCUGCCUGUCGCCUUGGCCAUUGGCAACUAUAGAUUUUGUGCUCCUGGGCAAAGGAUCAACUCAGGAUAGAAAAGAAGUGUCUACCAGGCAAGCCAAGUGUUACAUGAGUAAUGUCUACUUUGACAUGUCAAAAAUAAGUUAUUAUCCAGAGCCUCCAGGAAGACUGACAGCAUGUUCAUGGCAAUGUUUUCAUGCUUUGGGACCAAGCUCCAGAUCCAGGUGCUUCUGAAGAAUCUGUGGCAGUGAUCCUAAAGGCUGCAAUGCAGGGCCAGGUGUAGUUCAAAUUACCGAUGGAGCUCUCUUCUGUCAUUAUUGCUGCUCUUCUGUGAGUAAGGGAGCCUCUUUUCUGGCACCAGUGUGGAUAGUCUUUGUAUUAGAAGGUAAAAUGUAUUCCUAGUUUCUAAUUUUAAGAUAGAAAUUAGUCUUCUUUUAGAAAUAACAUUUAAAAUUGCACUUAAAUAUUUUAAGUCUAAUAG